UGCGUUUAGAUUAAUUUAGUGCAGACCUUUUGUCGUCACUGUAGACGUAUCGUCUUCUUCCUCUCCCGAUAUCAGAGAAACCGAACAAUCAGAUUUAAUCAUCUCAUUAAUCGAUCAACCACGAUGUAGAAUCAAUGCGGGAUUUAAGUGCGUCUGGCGAUGGAGACGAGUAUAAGUGUGGUUAUUCUCAUCAUUUUCGUUACUCUUACAAAAAAAAAACUAACGCUUUGGUUCUCCUCUCCAAUCUCCAGUCCGGCCGAUCCUCCUCCACCGUCGAAGUGCGCUUGCUCCGCUUCGGGGGAAUCGAAAAACGUCCGCCGUGGUGGAGAACUCAUGGGCGUCGACAUGCUUUUGGUUGAUUCUCAGGUUUGCAUCUUCACGCCACUUCUCUGUCUUGAGAAUAGAGUUGUUCAAUAGUUAUCAUUAAUGUCAAUAUGGAUGUCAAAUGUCUUUGGGAUAUUGACAUCCAUGAUUUUGUCAAUAGAUUACAGGUUUCGAUAUCAGAGAAGCAUCCACAGAGGAAAAGAGAGUUUUUGUGUGGCGUUAAUCAAAAUGCGUCUACUAGAGCUUGAAAACCCAUCUAUCUGAAGUAUUACGAACCUUAGCAAGAAUGUGAAACACUUGCUGUCCCGGGUUUAAUUGACUACGAGAACAAGAUAAAUGUCAGUGCACCAUUUACAUUUUAAAGAAAAUCUCAUACCUCUAUUGCAGUGCAAUGUGUUGGACAGACUCUUUGCUUGAAUCUCAGAUGCGUCUUUUACUUAUUCCAUUCCUUAGACCAUGUAAUUCCCUAUGGAAUGUCUUUGAUUUAUGCAGACCUGACCUUGAACAAGGAGAGAAACUAUAGGAAGAGCAUGACUGCUGCCAUUCAUUUGAGGAUGUUCAUGACCCAUUUAGAAACAGAGGUUGGAGUGUUACAAAUCCAGAUUUGAUUGACAAGGUGAGGUGUUGAUAAAAAAGGUUUCUCACCUUAUUGCUUUAAAUUUCAAAAUAUAUGUUUAUAAUUCAGUAAAUUAAUCAGUUUCUAAAAUAUAUAUUGUCUUUAACUUGUAUAAAUCAGUGCUGCUAAGAUCUUCGGUAGUUCCAAUUUAUUUUAGGAGUAUCCCCUAGAUGGUCACUGAGAUAAUGGUUACCAUCCUCACUUGAUUGCUCCUGAGCAAGGUUACUAUCGUCCAUUGAGUAUUCUAUUGUGUCCAUCCAAAAACAUGUGUCCUUUUUUCCUUUGUGUGGUUAAAUAUUUCUAGGCUCAUGCGAUCUUCUUGAAGGAUUGGGUUCACAAGUCUCUGAUUGAUACGACAGACUGAGAUGACAAACGCGGCCAUAGUGUCGUUGGAAAAAAGAAUGGGAGCGAAGAUAGCAACACUGCAGCUGGUGAACAUGGAGAAGUACAAUUACCUUACUGUUGAUUUCUUCAAGAAGCUUCUCCAGUUCUGAGAAUUCCCACUGUUUUUCUCGGUUGUGGUCUGUGGUUCAGACACGGAAGAGACUUCUAGAUUUUAUUUUUUUUGGAGAUGAUCUGCCUGGAAGUGGGAUGGCAUCAUGCCGUAUCGUUUAUUACAGCUACACAAUUUGUUCUGUUGUCUCUUUGUUUGUAUUCGUUUUGACUAUUACCUUAUACGCAUGCUCUCCAACACAUCAACGAUAUUUUGAGUUAUGUAGAGAUCUGGUUUACAAAAAAAGAAGAGUAAUGUAGCAUCUUUACUGACACCUCUUCUUGGUGU